rnacentral:tRNA from 1 species
UUCCCUGUAGCGCAAUGGAUAGCAUGUUGGACUUCUAAUCCAAAGGUCGUGGGUUCGAAUCCCGCCUGGGAUG